rnacentral:piRNA from 1 species
UAGUGCCAUGGCAAGCGAUGCUC